UGGUUGGAGGUUCCAGCCCAGGAGCCAUUACAGCCCUUGCCUGUGGGAGUCACAUGGAGACCCUGAUGCCCUAUGGACUGCAGCUUCAGGAAGCCUGGUAGGAAGUGACCCAGGGAGGAUCUUCAAAAAAGCUACUGCUUGGCAAGCUACUAUAAUCAAUGGAGGAACUGGACUGCCCAAUGUGUCAGUGGCACAUUUAUCCAUAUAACUGUCCAAUUCCUUGUUGAAUCUUGGGGCUUUCUGAGUAGCCUGUAUAAAGAACUCCGGAAAAAUGAAGAGUAGAUUUGUUCCUAGCAGCCAGGAAGGAAGUUGUCAGGCGGAAAAAGGAUAUGGACCUGUUUGCAUGCGAGGAAUCACAGUCCAAGUGAAAAGCCUGUUAUUCACCCAGUUCCAUUCAGGGGGCCUCUUUGCUACUCUUGUACAAGUCUUAAAUGCAGGGAGUGCUCUGGGGCUGGAGCGGGGGCUGACAGGAAGAACAGUCGGUGGAGCUGAAGCUCUCCAAGUGGAGAUGGAAGUGUUUCGACCUAUAAAGACCUGAAAUCUCUUGAUCUGCCUGAGAGAAUCUUUCUGUGUGAUACUGUUCUGUUCAAUGGUGGCACUCAAAUUGGCCUCCUCUUGGUACAAUAAGAAAGAGGGAGCUGCCAAAGAGGGAACUCAUUGUCCAUGAGAGGCCUUCACCUUUGGAACCUACUCUCCACUUUGAUUGGAAACAGCCCACAUUUGCAACCUCUGAAUUAUGCUGCAAGUCCCAUCUGUUUCUCCAGGCUGUGGCAGAGAAAGGAACAUAAAAAGAGCUGCUGUACAUGGGAUAAAGAUAGCUCUUGUUUGGGCUUGAUGUAUUUUGGUUUAUCUCCUGAUUUGAGGAACUUCUGGUUUUACUUUUGAUUUAUGAUAUUUUUAAUUUUUGGUAAAACCACCUUCAUCUGUAUGUGCUUUUUGUGCACAUUUAUUUGUUGAACUAUAUAAAAGAAAUAAAUACACCAGGCAGUUUGCCUUCUCUUCAUUUUUAAUUUAAGUUGAUAGAUCCAAUAUUGAAACAAGGAUAAAGCAGGACAUUUAGUACAAAGUUUUCUCAUUGAAA